UGUGUGUGUGUGUGUGCGUGCGUGUGUGUUUUUGGAUUUCAUACUAAUUUUCUGGAGUUUCUGCCCCUGCUCUGCGUCAGCCCUCACGUCACUUCGCCAGCAGUAGCAGAGGCGGCGGCGGCAGCGGGUUAGAGCCCAGUUGCUGCUGCUGCUGCUGCUGUUGCUGCUGCGCUCUGAUCCCUGCGCUUGGGGCCGGAGGCCGGGUGAGCCUCACGGACAGUCCUCCGUGGCCUCGGCCGGCACUGUCCCUCUGCCGCAGUUGCUCCCCAGCCCUGAGGUGCGCACCGAUAUCCGUGCCGGUUUAGCGGUUCUGCGACCCAAAGAGUCCAGGGAGAUCCACCGUGUGGUGCCUGGCGUGUAGGACCAUGCAGCCGCCCUGUGGCUUGGAGCAGCGGCCCGCGAUGUCCCGGCCACUGUGAACCCUUUGGCCUGCGCCAACCUGCUCAACCCAGACAGGCUCAAUCUCUGGUACACUCCACUCCACGGGAGGCCACCGGCACCGAGCAGCAAGAGGGCGCAGGAAAGGCCUCCCCCCUCCGGCGGGGGACGCCAGGCUCAGCGUAGGGACAAGCACUCCGGACUGAUUGGCACUGGCGGCGAGGGAUGUCGCCCUGGCCGAGGUGGCAUGGACCCGCCAUGGCGCGGCUCUGGGGCUUAUGUUGGCUGGCUGUGGGCUUCUGGAGGGCCUCUCUCGCCUGCCCCAUGUCCUGCAAAUGCAGUGCCUCUAGGAUCUGGUGUACGGAGCCUUCUCCUGGCAUCGUGGCGUUUCCAAGGUUGGAACCUAACAGUGUCGACCCGGAGAACAUCACUGAAAUUUUCAUCGCAAAUCAGAAAAGGUUAGAGAUCAUCAACGAAGAUGACGUGGAAGCUUAUGUGGGGCUGAAAAACCUGACAAUCGUGGAUUCCGGAUUAAAAUUUGUGGCGUACAAAGCCUUUCUGAAAAACAGCAACCUGCAGCACGUGAAUCUCACACGAAACAAGCUGACGAGUUUGUCGAGGAAGCAUUUCCGCCACCUUGACUUGUCUGAGCUGGUCCUGGUGGGCAAUCCGUUCACGUGUUCCUGCGACAUUAUGUGGAUCAAGACUCUCCAAGAGAUGAAGGGCAGCCCAGACAUGCAGGAUUUGUACUGUCUCAAUGAAAGCAGCAAGAACACGCCCCUGGCAAACCUGCAGAUACCCAACUGCGGCCUACCGUCUGCACGUCUGGCUGCCCCUAACCUCACUGUGGAGGAAGGGAACUCUGUCACCCUUUCCUGCAGUGUGGCAGGUGACCCACUCCCCAUGCUGUACUGGGACGUUGGGAAUUUGGUUUCCAAACACAUGAAUGAGACAAGCCACACGCAGGGCUCCUUAAGGAUCACGAACAUUUCCUCUGAUGACAGCGGGAAGCAGAUCUCUUGUGUGGCAGAAAACCUGGUGGGAGAAGACCAGGAUUCCGUGAACCUCACUGUACAUUUUGCACCGUCCAUCACAUUCCUCGAGUCUCCAACCUCAGACCACCACUGGUGCAUCCCGUUCACUGUGAGAGGCAACCCCAAGCCCACGCUCCAGUGGUUCUAUAAUGGGGCAAUACUGAACGAAUCCAAAUACAUCUGCACUAAAAUCCAUGUGACCAACCACACGGAGUACCACGGUUGCCUCCAGCUCGACAAUCCCACUCAUAUGAACAACGGAGACUACACUCUGAUGGCCAAGAACGAGUACGGGAAGGACGAGAGACAGAUUUCUGCCCACUUCAUGGGCCGACCUGGAAUUGAUUACGAGACAAACCCAAACUACCCUGAAGACCUCUAUGAAGACUGGACUGUAGCAACUGACAUCGGGGAUACCACAAACAAAAGCGAUGAGAUCCCUUCCACGGAUGUUGCCGACCAAAACAAUCGGGAGCGUCUCUCGGUCUAUGCUGUGGUGGUGAUUGCGUCUGUGGUGGGAUUCUGUCUGCUGGUGAUGCUGCUUCUGCUCAAGUUGGCAAGGCAUUCCAAGUUUGGCAUGAAAGGUCCAGCUUCUGUCAUCAGCAAUGACGAUGACUCGGCCAGCCCGCUCCACCACAUCUCCAACGGGAGUAAUACUCCAUCUUCUUCAGAGGGCGGUCCUGAUGCUGUCAUUAUUGGAAUGACCAAGAUUCCUGUCAUCGAAAACCCUCAGUACUUUGGCAUCACCAACAGCCAGCUCAAGCCAGACACAUUUGUUCAGCACAUCAAGAGGCAUAACAUCGUUCUGAAGAGGGAGCUUGGGGAAGGAGCCUUUGGAAAAGUUUUCCUGGCAGAAUGCUACAACCUCUGUCCUGAGCAGGAUAAGAUCCUGGUAGCCGUAAAGACGCUGAAGGACGCCAGCGACAACGCCCGCAAGGACUUCCACCGUGAAGCUGAGCUGCUGACCAACCUCCAGCAUGAGCACAUUGUCAAGUUCUAUGGCGUCUGUGUGGAGGGCGACCCUCUCAUCAUGGUCUUUGAGUACAUGAAACACGGAGACCUCAACAAGUUCCUUAGGGCACACGGGCCGGACGCGGUGCUGAUGGCGGAGGGCACUCCACCCACUGAGCUGACGCAGUCUCAGAUGCUUCACAUCGCUCAGCAAAUUGCAGCCGGCAUGGUCUACCUGGCGUCCCAACACUUUGUGCACCGUGACCUGGCCACCCGGAACUGCCUGGUAGGGGAGAACCUGCUGGUGAAAAUUGGGGACUUCGGCAUGUCCCGGGACGUGUACAGCACCGACUACUAUAGGGUCGGAGGCCACACGAUGCUGCCUAUCCGCUGGAUGCCUCCAGAGAGCAUCAUGUACAGGAAAUUUACCACAGAGAGCGACGUCUGGAGCCUGGGCGUCGUGUUGUGGGAGAUCUUUACCUACGGCAAGCAGCCCUGGUAUCAGCUAUCAAACAACGAGGUCAUAGAAUGCAUCACCCAGGGCCGAGUCCUGCAGCGGCCUCGCACGUGCCCACAGGAGGUGUAUGAGCUGAUGCUGGGAUGCUGGCAGAGGGAACCACACAUGAGGAAGAGCAUCAAGGGCAUCCACACCCUCCUCCAGAACUUGGCCAAGGCAUCGCCUCUCUACCUGGAUAUCCUAGGCUAGGGCCCUUCUCCCCAGAUCCGCCCUUCCCGAUGCACUCCUCAGACUGGCCAACACGACGAACCUCUUACCUGCCGCUGGGUGUCAUGACCUUGCUGUCCUUCGUUGUUCUGACAGUAUUAACAAGACAGGGAGCGGCUUUCGGAGGGAAGCAGUGUGCACUUCUCCAUCCACAGACAGUGUUAACUCGCUUUUGGCAUUGUCUCUUUCUCUCUCCCGCAUCUCCUUUGGUUUCUUUCUUUCUUUUGCCCUUUCACCUUUUACUUUGGGUCUUCCCUGCUUCGUGAUCCUCAGCCUCUCUCCUUGAACAAUCUGGCUUCUGUAUUCCUAUUGACUGUACAUAGACAAAGGCCUUAAACAAAACCCUAAUUUGUUAUAUCAGCUGACACUCCAGUUUGCCCACCACAACUAGCAAUGCCUUGUUGUACUCCUGCCUUCGAUGUGGAUGACAAAAGGGAAACCAAACAUCUGACUUAAAGCGCCACUUCCAAUGUACAGACACGGGCAUUUCUAUGGAUUCACUCCUGUUUAUUUAUUUAACUAUUUAUUUAUCUAUUUAUUUAUUUAUUUAUUUAUCUUCUUGUUUUCUGAUGGCUUUAGCCUGUGUGUAAAGGGAAAGUUGUAUACAAUCUAGGAAGAUGUUAUCUGUGGGAGAUGAGAUCCAGAGAGAGAGAGAGAGAGAAGUGUGACUAUAAACUACAGAAGGACCAGAACAGAGACAGCCAACGGGAUCACCUGGGAUCAGCCCCUGCUGAGGAAGAUCCCGCAACCGUGAGCUGGGAGGAGCAUGUUCGGCACCGUCCCCUGAGGACCUUCCUGAGGAGGAAAGAGGGUGUUGAACUCUGCACCGUGGACAGAGUUUCCAGGCACAGAUACUGGCCUGCAAUGGAAAGUGAAGAUGGCCUCCGUGGGACCCAGACAGCACAUCGCGCAUUCCGCCAGCGCAUUGUGGUCGAGCAUGGUGACAGAGUUGAAGCGUUCCUCAAGGGUUACCUACCAAACUUUGUCAAGUUCAGUUGAAAAGAGGGAGAUUUUUGCUCAGAUAUUAUUUCUGGGUCAGAUGGGGAAAUCUGAGUCCUUGAAAAUGACAGGAAGCACUCUCAAUUCUGAGGCACGUUUCUCUUACCUUGAACUUUUCAGACAAUUCCCUCCAGCCCCAAUUCUCCACUCUCACCUGUCUUUUAACUGUGCAAAAAAAAAAAAAAAAGUGCAUGGUCUUUGUCAGUCAACACCUGUGUGCAGAAAGGACCAUUCCAGUCGUGGGGCCCCAUGGGUAGGGCAGAGCCAUAGAAGGUCUGACGUAUGCAACUUAGGGAUGGGGCAGGACCAGCAGCUGAAAGCAUGCUGCUGCGGUUAGUGGUGAUGGGUUUGCCGUAGGGAUGCUGAUGCCUGGGUGUCUCCAUCCGCCUCAGCCCCACAGCAGCGUGGGAUGGGACAGACGGAUCCGUCCCUGAGGGGAAGAAAAGCUCCCUUGGGGACAGCACCCUAGUUCACGUUUAGUGUCCGGGCCAAGUCUCUUGCUCUGGGCUCUGUUUGGGAGAGCGGUUCACUUCUACGUACUCAUUGUCAGUGUGCUGUUUUGUUAUCUAUACUCCAUUAAAAAGUUUUUUAAAAAAGGAAGGAGAAGGAGAAGGGGAAGAAGAAGGAGAAGGAGAAGAAGGAAAGAAAAAAACUGAAAAAUCUGUGCAGUAUGACUGAUGGGAGGCUGUGCCCAGACUGAGCUUGGAAAUACGCUUCUGAGUAUGAUUAUGGGUUUUACUAAGAGAAAGUGUAAAUUUAAGUAGAAAUUUACAGUUAUUAGGACAGUCAGUUAGACCGAGGGAGAACAGCAUUUCCGCUUCUCUGUCCCCCUCUGUGAGGGGAAGUUUGAUAAACUUGACAUCUUUGUUACAUGAGCCAGAUUGGAAGCGGGUGAUUGAAUUCACAGUAGCACACUUCUUUGGAGUUUAUUUCUGAAGGUGCCAGAGCUCUGGGUAAGGACCACACCAGCUUUCAACUCCGGGCAGUCCUUGGAUGGAAGAUUUGUUGAAGUCACAAUUCCCUGAGACAACAGACUGAAAAGCCAUCCUCUACGUUCAGCAUGCUCUCCGGCUCUCUGCAGACAAAUGGUCUCCUUAGGUACAGCUCCAAGGGAGGAGAGCUGUGCUGUGCUGACCCUUCUCGCUCUGAUCCCCUUCUAGAUGCAGACUGUUGGGAGACCAGUGUCUUGAAGGCCGAUGAUAAAACACCCAAGAACCCACAGCAAGAUGGGCAGCUUGUAGUCACCCCUUACCCACAUGGGGAGAAAGAGCCAUGGUGCGGACAGCGGGAUCCCUGGUCAAGGGCUGUCGUGAGCCUCUCCUUUUGCAAAUGGGACUGCCAGCGACACCUGGCAUUGUCAUGUCUAAUUUCUAGAACUGUCAGCACAGACACAGGCACCCUCAUCGCUCCUUCUCCCCUCUUAGAGGACGUCUACUUCCCAACUUGACCUUUGGUUUGGCCCUGUUAAAGGAAACCUCAUGAGGGAAUGGCUAACGAAUGUCCCAAGUCCCCAGAUUUCCAACUUUGCAGUUUAAGCCGAUUCUUCACAACGUGUAACAGGAAUGUAGAGACUCAAGUUGUGAUAGCUCGGACAUGAAUUUCAAGUGCUACUGUGAAGAACCAGGUGGGAGGGGCUCCCAGGUGAAAGAGUAGUGCAGAAGGGCAUAGUUUAUGCUGUCUGUCUGGGCUCCAUCUCUGCUGCUCCAGUCAAAGGUUCUUGACUAUUCUUCGCUGUGGCACCUUCCCUUCUUUAGACCCUUCAACUUCAUUUAUUUAUGUUCUAUUUAUUUAUAAACUUUCGAUCCAUCCAUCACCAACAUGAAGCAAAAAAAAAUGACAUACAUGUAAAUGUGUUGCAAGCGAAACACUGUGAAUCUCACAACCACCUCCAAGCAACUAUGCUGCCAUCCUGAUGUGCGUCUCGGGAGACGAGAUGGGAAAAAGACGGUGACGUCAUUUUUGCAGCCUAUGCGUUCUGGGCCAGGUCCACGUUUUUUAUUUUAUUUUUUUAUUCUGUGAGUUAAGAAAAACGAUCCUGAGUGGAGGUUGACUGAACGUCCAACGAGCUAGCCAAAGUAUCAUGAGCUGCUUGUGGCUGUAUGUUUGAGCAGGAAGGAAAACCAUGGGCAAUGGAGAAAUGAAACUUGAUGGAGAGGUCUCUAUCUUACAGCUCGUAUAGCUUACUGUUGCUUAAAAUGUAUACAACAGCUGGAAAUAUUUUCAAUACAAGGUAUUUGAAUUAAAUGUGAAUUUUAAAUAUGUACUCUCUUAAGGAAUGAACAUAUUGUGGCGAAAUAUCUCUCUCCCCACGUUCCUGACCAACCUGCCUAAAGACGGGGAUGCCUACACUGGCUUCGGCCCCGGACAGAUGUUUGUACAUACCCAGGCCACACACACUCAUCUCAACAUCUCUGCACAUGUGCUACCCCUCCAACAGAGACCUGGUGUUUAGAACUCUAUCUUUCAGUUAGUUUAUUUCCCUUUAAUGUGACGUCUCUGUGCCGACUUUUACCGGCUCUCACUUGUUUUUUUGCAAUCUGUUUUGAGGUCCAGUGCUUUUCUGAGACUCACUGCAUCUUGGCUGAUUUCAAAGUGACACCUGAAUACAGUGUUUAAAAAAAAAAUGUUUGUAAAUCAUGUGACCAGCUUCUCUCAACCUGACAUGGAAUGUCUCUUGUACUACAGUGUAUUUAAUAAAAAAAAACACAAAUGACGUCUUACAAUAAACAACACACUCCAUGGGAGGCUACACAUGGCGAUGGUGUACUUUCUAAAGAUGAGCAGGGCGUCUACGAAGCACAGCACAGCAGUUUUAAAUGCAGGCAUCUUCAGAGAUGCCACGGAGUUCACUGCCUGAAGGCAGUGAGAACAAGUGGUCUCUGACCUCACCGUUGAACUUUUAAGUCACACUGUUUACACCCAGAAUGCUGUUGCCCGUUCCUUCACACCGUGACAUUUCUGUCUCCACCAACCAGUGUGGUAUCCUGAAGCCACCUGUGGCUAGCAGGUCUUUGACUGUAGAACAGAGUAUGAAAUCGUGUUUAAUUUCAGUUAAUGUACAUUUAAACUGCCACAGCAGGCUAGUGGUGACUAUUCCAGCUGGGCAGGAGUGAGAAGAGAAACCUGUGGUGUCUAAAAGCGCAGGUGCAAACAAUGUCCUGAGUGGGUUGCAGUGGUCUAGAGUUGGGUUUCCCUGGGAAACUGGGCAAAGCAGAGGUGGAGGUGUUCCCUGGAGCUUCACAGUAGCUUCUCCCAGUGUCUGGCCUCUUCCCCCUGAGGCUCUGGAAGGCUGAGAAGCAUCCAAACAGCUCCCCUGGUAUAGGCUCCAGAAACAUGCAGUUUGGCUGUGUCUACCCGAAAGCAAACACCCUUAACCAUUGUCUCUUACACACUUCCCCCCAGUGGUGAGGAUGUAUAUUUUCUUAGGGUAACAAAUUAUGGCAACUGAGCAGAGACUAGAAAGUUCAGAG